rnacentral:lncRNA from 1 species
UCUCUCUCUCUCUCUCUCUCUCUCUCUCUCUCUCUCUCUCUCACCACCUCUCUACUCUACAAAGAAUACACUCUCUCUCUUCUCUCUCUCUCUCUCUCUCUCUCUCUCUCUCUCUCUCUCUCUGCAACUUUUUUGCAACCCUAAAACGUCAACACCUUUGUCCCUGCUAUCAGAUCAUGCGACCUUCCCCUCUCUCUGACAAAAAGCCCGCAAUGUGAAUGAAUGCCCUUUCUGGUGCCAACCCCCCCCUCCUCUCUCUCUAACUCUCAAUCAUUUUCUCUCUCCAGAGCUUGAGUCCCUGUGUGGAAGGAGGGCGUCGGGGUCGGAGUCAGUUGUUGAUUCGGCUCCCCCACCUCUUUUUUUUUAUUAUUAUUAUAUUAUAUUAUUUAUGACCCCUUCUCUCUCUAACUGCACCCCAUCCCUCUUCUUUUUCUCUCUAACGAAACCACCUCUCUUCUUUCUCUCUCCAACGACACCACCUCUCUCUUCUUUCUCUCUCUAACG